GAUCAACGCUGGCGGCGUGCCUCAGACAUGCAAGUCGAACGAUUAAAGCUCUCUUCGGAGAGUGCAUAAAGUGGCGCACGGGUGAGUAACACGUAAGUAAUCUACCUUCGAGUGGGGAAUAACAUCGGGAAACCGAUGCUAAUACCGCAUAAUGCAGCGGCAUCGCAAGAUGACAGUUGUUAAAGAUUUAUCGCUUGAAGAGGAGCUUGCGGCAGAUUAGCUAGUUGGUAAGGUAAUGGCUUACCAAGGCUACGAUCUGUAACCGGUCUAAGAGGACGGUCGGUCACACUGACACUGAAUAACGGGUCAGACUCCUACGGGAGGCAGCAGUCGGGAAUUUUGGGCAAUGGGCGAAAGCCUGACCCAGCAACGCCGCGUGAAGGAUGAAGUAUUUCGGUAU
rnacentral:rRNA from 1 species